GAAAAGAACUUUGAAAAGAGAGUUAAAUAGUACGUGAAAUUGUUGAAAGGGAAACGAUUGAAGUCAGUCGUACUGGCGAAAAAUCAACUACUCGAGUGAGUACUUGUGGGCGUACGUGAGCUUCACGGCCGCGUUGUUUGCAAUGUUCGUGCUCUUGUGGUGUACUUUUUCGUGUGGUAGGUCAAUGUCGGUUUUGAACGCCAUAAAAUGAUCGGAGGAAUGUAGCUUCGACCUCGUUGAAGUGUUAUAGCCUUUGGUAGAUGUGGUGUUUGGGAUCGAGGAUUGCAACGAAUACCCUUU
rnacentral:misc_RNA from 1 species